CAGCACUGUGGGGUGUAGAGCAGUCAUGCCAGGUCACCUCAGCCUGUCACCUGCCUCCCAGCCUUCUCCUUUCGUUCCCCCUCCCACUUCCCACAGCUUCCACCUGCCUUUUGCUCUUCUCCCAUCCCCAUUUCCCUAGACUCCUGUUGGAGGGGGAUGACCCAGUUCUCUUGAUUUUUCACUUGGUGGUAAGUAAGGAAUCUCUAAGGAAACAAAGCGAGAAUUGCCCAUCUCUAAGUCACUGUCAUCAGAACCUGGUCCAGGCGUCCACACUUGUGCCUUCUACUACUUUUCCCCAGUGCUUUGGAUCAGGCCCUGAGUGUGGGUGCCUUACCUUGAGAGAAAGCAGAGUCUGCAGGCCCAGGCAGAAUUCAGGACUCUCAACAUCUGCAGGAACCAUUUGAAAACAGAAGAGGCUGAAGGUGCCCUGUGGUCACUGGUGCCCUCUUCUCAGCCCUUGCUCCUUCUCUGCCCACCCCAUCCCCAGGUUCAAGGAUGUUGGCACAGAGAUAAGGGAUAGUCAGAACAUUUCUGGGGACUCCUUUUGCCAGAGGGGCUGAAAGUCUCUGCCUUUGGCCCACCCUGAAGAGAAAGGUGAGAGGCGUCUUUGGAUCACACUGUGUGGCUGCUGGCUCCAUCACAAAACAAUGAAGAUCCCAGGGUUGGUGGUGUGAUGAAAAGAAGUAAGAAAUUGAAGAACUAGGCCGGGCGCAGUGGCUCACGCCUGCAAUCCCAGCACUUUGGGAGGCCGAGAAAUUAGCUGGGCAUGGUGAUGCAUGC